AACUUUCGGCAAUGGAUCUCUUGGCUCUCGCAUCGAUGAAGAACGCAGCGAAAUGCGAUAAGUAAUGUGAAUUGCAGAAUUCAGUGAAUCAUCGCAUCUUUGAACGCACCUUGCACCCUUUGGAAUUCCGAAGGGUAUGCUCGUUUGAGUGCCAUUGUACUCUCACACUCCUCUGAUCCUUUGGAUUCGGGGAGCGUUGUACUUGCAUGUUUGCUGCUUUCCUUGUGGUUCGCCUCAAAUGCGUCAGUGCACCUCUUGGUUGGACAUAGUACUGCGUGAUAAGUGGCUUCGCCGGCACCUCGCAAGAGGGUGGCCGAUCGAGAGCUCUGUGCUUUCAAACCGUCUUCGGACACUUUCUGACAACUUGACCUCGAAUCGAGUAGGACUACCCGCUGAACUUAAGCAUAUCAAUAAGCGGAGGCU
rnacentral:misc_RNA from 1 species